GAGGUAAGGAUCACUCUAGAAUGACAGAAAUGAAUAUGAAAAGCAGCAGGAAAAGAAAGGAUGGUAUGUGUCUGUCAAUCUGGGCUACUUAGAAUGGGCCAGCUGAGAUUGUGGGUUUAUAGACAACCUACGAUGAGUAGGAUAAAAAGUGUUAAUGUUAUGAGAUUGCUUCUAUGCAAUGAUCUAUAGUAGUCUAAUGGAUUAGGAUCUACAGCACAAUGACGGAAAUGAAUAUGAAAAGCAGCAGGAAAAGAAAGGAUGGUAUGUGUCUGUCAAUCUGGGCUACUUAGAAUGGGCCAGCUGAGAUUGUGGGUUUAUAGACAACCUACGAUGAGUAGGAUAAAAAGUGUUAAUGUUAUGAGAUUGCUUCUAUGCAAUGAUCUACAGUAGUCUAAUGGAUUAGGAUCUAACCAAAAUAAUCGAAUUAAUGAAAAAUCAUUCACCAUGCUAAAAAAGGCAUUGAAGAUGUUUUUCUUCACGUAGUGUAAUAUAACAAUUAUAUUAGCAUUAGCAGUAAACAUUUUAUGCUAGAUUUUUCCCAUACACGUAAAUGUAACAAACAUAACCAAACAAAUAUACUUAGCAAAGAUUGAUCUAUCUCCUGUUGGUAUCAAAGUGUAUCCCUUCUUGAAAAGACAAAAAGCACCACAAAUUAAAACACACUAUUUUGCUUGUAAUUGGCACUUAUUUUAAUAUUUUAGAAAGAGUGGAUGGACUCCUCUUUUCUAGUGAGCUCGGUCAUUGAACAUGGCAGCCUUCCCAAGGAGCUCUUUUUGUUCAUGAGGAUGGCUGUCUUCCUAUUUUUGCGGGAGCUUAUUUCUCCUAUAUAGAGAGCAUACGUUCCCAGAAGAUAUUGAGCCUUUGCUCACAUUUCUUGUUUUUCAGCUAACCUAUUUUUUGCUCAAUUUCGUGAGGUUUGUUCGCAUUGUCCAUAUUUACUCAAUUUCUUUUAGAUUUCCAAG
rnacentral:lncRNA from 1 species